GGGGGCUUUAAGCCUUGGCUCGUGUGCGUGGAGUCACACAGAGAGGGGUGAGGGGCACACGGAUGUCGUGCCCUACAGCAAGGCUCACCAGGGUUGCACUGUCAGCUUGGAAGGUGGUGCCGUGUUCGUGAGCAUCAGUGACCAGGAAUGGGCUUGGGCCUCUCAAGUCAAGGCCAGAGAGCGACUUCGUGUUUUAUGCACUGUCUGAAGUUGCAGGCAUCGAGGUUUUUAAAUACCCAACAUGGUCCAGGAUGGCUUUCCCAAGGAGGAGACAACCUGCCCUCCUGCACUGUACCCCCAUUUCAACCCUGCAAGAGGUCUCUUCUCAUGAGCCACAGCUCUGAGAAGCAGAUAACAGCUAUAACUUCCUUUGUACCUUGGCCAUCCUGAGAAGAUGAAGCCUGUCCCAGCUUCUAAGAAAGGAGAAGAGAGCCCCCCUGAAGAGAUGUUUCCCCAAGCAAGGACCGAAAGCAGGUGCAAGCAUAGGGGAUCCCUAGAAUUAGACUGAAAUUAAAUAUCCCUUUAACAUCUUGGGGUUUCUGCUGCUGGUUUCACACCCACAUGGACCCAUGGGAUAGUGAUGCUCGCGGCUGCUGCCUGACUAUCCAGACCGAUAGGGUCUCCUCAGUGUGUGCACUCAGGUGUCAGCCAGUGCCCCACUGACUGGUG